rfam:Onchocerca flexuosa genome assembly, scaffold: OFLC_contig0001874
GGAAUAGGUAUUCUCCAGUAAUGACAUUGAAAUUGAAGGAUUGUUAUUGCUUGAGAAUACAAGUUGU